rnacentral:ncRNA from 1 species
AAGGGAAAUCCGACUGUUUAAUUAAAACAAAGCAUUGUGAUGGUCCUUGCAAAUUCUAACACAAUGUGAUUUAUGCCCAAUGCUCUACAUGUCAAAGUGAAGAAAUUCAACCAAGCACAUAUAAACGAUGGGAGUAAUUAUGAAUCUCUUAAGGUAUCCAUAUGCCUUGUCAUAUAAUUAGUGAUGCACAUGAAUGGAUUAACAAUAUUCACACUAUCCUUGGCUACUAUAUAGAGAAACCACAACCAAGGGAACAAGCUUGGUAGAAUUAGCAGGGAAAGAAGAAUCUAAUGAGGUUGACUCUAGUCUGACUUUGUGAAAUGACUUGAGAGGUGUAGAAUAAGUGGUAGUUGUUUUCAAUGCAAGUGAAAUACCACUACUUUUAACAUUAUUUUACUUAUUUCUUGGGGCAGAGAUGAGGCAUUUCACAUGUACUAAAAGAUAAUGCACAUUUUCUCAAAGUGUUAUCAUUGGUUGCAAUGGUCGAAAGCUCAUUCUUCACACACUUGAUGAAAAUGAGUUUAGGAAACCAAAGAGGAUCAUUGAUUUUAAGGAUGAAUAAAGUUCCUACAAUCCCUAUGU